CCUACGGGGGGCAGCAGUGGGGAAUAUUGGACAAUGGGGGCAACCCUGAUCCAGCCAUGCCGCGUGUGUGAAGAAGGCCCUCGGGUUGUAAAGCACUUUCAGUGAGGAAGAACGCCUGGUGGUUAAUACCCAUCAGGAAAGACAUCACUCACAGAAGAAGCACCGGCUAACUCCGUGCCAGCAGCCGCGGUAAUACGGAGGGUGCGAGCGUUAAUCGGAAUUACUGGGCGUAAAGCGCGCGUAGGUGGCUUGAUAAGCCGGUUGUGAAAGCCCCGGGCUCAACCUGGGAACGGCAUCCGGAACUGUCAAGCUAGAGUGCAGGAGAGGAAGGUAGAAUUCCCGGUGUAGCGGUGAAAUGCGUAGAGAUCGGGAGGAAUACCAGUGGCGAAGGCGGCCUUCUGGACUGACACUGACACUGAGGUGCGAAAGCGUGGGUAGCAAACAGGAUUAGAUACCCGAGUAGCC
rnacentral:rRNA from 1 species